rnacentral:tRNA from 1 species
GAGGGUAUAGCUCAGUGGUAGAGUAUGUGCUUAGCAUGCACAAGGUCCUGGGUUCAAUUCCCAGUACCACCA